AAGUUGCCAAGCACUUUGAAGAGAGAGUUAAAGAGGACGUGAACCGAUAAGAUGGAAACGGAUAGAGCUGACGUAUCUAGCUUGUAUUCAGCUGUGGGCCUGCGUGGGGCUGAUCGUCCAAUCCUGCUUUUGGUUGGGCGGUUUGCUACUUGCGUAGGCUAGCAGUGCAUUUGCAAGCUAAGUGCGCCGAGAAAUACACUACAGCGGUUGGAUAUCCGCUUUGAGGUCUCUUCUCGAAGAGUAACCCUGGCAGAAGGAAGACUGUUUGCUGUGUAUUGACUGCAAUAUAUAUGGCCUACGAGUCGGCUAGCAGCUUAUGCUCCUAUGAGUUAUGGUCGCAUGCGAUUGUGCUCACUGGGGUGUUUGUUGUUGGUGCGGACUCUCAUAUAUGCUUUCGGUGUAAAAGUCGGUCAUCUAUCCGACCCGUCUUGAAACACGGACCAAGGAGUUUAGCGAAUACGCAAGUCAUUGAGUGUUGAAAACUCAAAGGCGCAAUGAAAGUAAAGGUGUCCUUCUGGAGCUGAUAUGCGAUCACUGGCAUUUCGGUGCUGGUGCGCAGCAUAGCCCCAUUCCAAUUGCUUGCAAUGGGGUGGAGGCAGAGCGUAUUUGCUGAGACCCGAAAGAUGGUGAACUAUGCCUGAGCAGGAUGAAGCCAGAGGAAACUCUGGUGGAAGUCCGAAGCGGUUCUGACGUGCAAAUCGAUCGUCUGACUUGGGUAUAGGGGCGAAAGACUAAUCGAACCAUC
rnacentral:rRNA from 1 species